UACAUGUUAUGUGGGAGUGGCAACUCAAACAGAAUUUCACCCAGAUUUACCAAACUUUAACCUUUCGGCAAUUAUGGUACAGAAAAGUCUAAAUGAGAUUACAAUGCAAUGCAAGGAAAUGUGUUUGUGUAGCACCAUUCAUUAAAAGAAUUUCAUAUCAAAUCGGUUGCAGCCCAACAGUCAUCUGCGCUGUUAACCCAACAGGGCGGUGGUGGAAUACAAUACAAUACAAUACAAUACAUGCUGAUUUAUAUAGCGCUUUCACAACAGCGGCAGCUGUAACAAAGCGCUUUACAAAACAGUUAACAUAAAGUAAAAUAAUAAACACAACACAUAACAUAAAACACAGACAGUCGUGCAGUCCUAACCACUUUUCCGUCACACGCUUUGUUGUUUGAAGCAGUUUGAGAUGAAAGAGGAGAGAAUCAAAGUGUCCUUUAACCAGUGGAUCAGAGACGUCAUGCUCAAAAUGUGCACACGUCGGCUACAAGCUAAGUUUCAAAGUCAACAAGAAGCUGUAGCAUCCAUUGACGAAAAAAGAGAUUGGUUCACUUCUCCUGGAAUGUCUCAGGUGUGCAAAUGUGUCAGAUUGAGUGAAGAUUGAAAUUGAGGGUUAUCAUGUUUAUUGUUAUGAGUCUUUACGGUUCUCAGGUGAGAAGGUGCUAAGACAAUGUUGUUAAGAGCAGCCAAGAGAGUGUCCUGAUUGAGGCAGCUUUUAAUUGGCAUGUUGACCAAGGCAUCAGGGAUGAAAAAGAAAUAAUGGUCAGACUGGAAAUCCAGGACAGGAAGCGCAAGGGACAGACUAUGCUACACUUAGGCAAAAGAAUGGAAAUAGCUGUUGGAAACACUUUCUUACAGAUGAGGCAGGAACAUGACGCUAGAAGCACAUAUGUACAUACAUCUUGUACAGGCGAUGUCAAUAAGGAAUUGGGAGCAAUUGUUAAUCCAACAAUAGUCUGCCAUGAGGAUGUAAAUUGAAUCAAUUUAUCUCAAGGUCUCAGUAGGAGAUGUGUGCAAUUCAAUCAAGAAGGUGAGGUGUCUGGCUCCAGGUCUCCCUAGCGGCAUGUCACAAUCGGUGAUUAUAUCAGGACUGUCACCAAAUGGCAUUGUGUUAGAGGACUGGUCGCCAGGAAGACAAAGGCAGAGCAGAGAAAGGAAUGGAAGCUAAGAAAGAGUGCUGCGCGGCUUUCACAAUAGAGCUGAGAUAGGCUUUUGGUAGGCAGGAAGAACUUGGGCAGUGUGGGAUCGGUUCCCACUCAGUGAUGAUAUGAAUGUGGGUGUGAAUGUUCAUUUGCCGCUAUGCGACUGAUUGGCGAGCAGUUCAGGGAGUAGUCUGCCUUCCACCCAAAGUCAGCUGGGAUAGGCUCCAGCAACUUCCCGCGACCCUCUUCAGGAUAAACGGUGCUGAAAAUGGAUGGAUGGAUGACAUCUUGAGCUCAUUAGAUUUGGGUUUUGUGAUAAAAGGGUCUUUGCUUGGCUGAAGGGAAGAUCAGAAGUGAAGAAAACAAGACCGUUUUGAGGGCAGCCAUGAUAUGCUGCUCUGAGGCACAACAGGAUGCACAUCUGGAGAUGGAGAUGUUGAGGUUCUCCUUAGGAGCAAUCAGGGUGGAUGGGAUAAGAAAUUAGAUGAUCAGAUGAACAGCCAAGUUUGGAAAUCUUUGGAGACAAAGUUAGAGUCACCAGACUUGGAGGUUUGUAAACUCACAAGUAGUGAGUUUAUUGGUAGUGUGAUGAGGAGGAGGGAGCUGCCAUGCAAUACAGCUACAGGAAAACGUUAGAGGUGGUUCAUGGAUGGAGUGAAGAAACACAGAAGGGUAGUUGGUGUAAUAAAGGAGCAUGCAGAAGACAUAGUAGGUUGAGAUCGAAAAGGAUGUUGUACGAUGGCUACCUCCAGAAGGAUACGCCAAAAGAAAAAAAUAUAUAUUCAUUUUGCUGAAAUGAAUAGUCUACGACCAUUUUUAACUUUUGAGACAUUUCCUGUAUCAGUUUAUAGCUCACAUUGCAUUGUUUUGAGUCUCGGCCUUCAAUAGACCACCUAUUUGUGGUCCUGAACUGGUAUUCCCUUCGCUUUGUGUUUUGAUUGGGUCAGCACGGACUUAUUUAUGCAUGCCACCGGAAAGGCCGCAAAGUCAUUAAUUGCUGGGGAAAAUAUGUUGAGCUCUCUAACUUUAUUACUUUUGUGUUCAUUUGUACAUUUGUUAUUCCACUUGGCCCAUUCAUGGGCAAAGAAUGUCACUGUGGCUGGAGACUGGAUAAGCAGAGGGCAUGAUUCACUCAGUGCUAAAUUGUGUUUUUCGGGUUAUACCGUAUUUUCCAGAUUACAAGCAGCUACCUUUUAAUAUUUACGGGCUAAUGAGCUUCAUGUGGUCAGUACUUUCACACCCGCCAUUGGUUGUCUCAUUUCUCAAAUGGGUUAGUCUCAAAUCACGGAAUGGCGAGAGCUCAGAGAUGUCGCCCAAGAGUGAGCGAGCACAAACCCCCCCGUGUGGUGUCACGCAUAAAAAAAAUAAAAUAAUUGAGGAUUGUGCUGACAAUUUCCAAUGAUUCCAAGUGUGUCUGAGGUGAGACUAGCUUUGAAAAAUACGUUUCAUGGCAAUUCCACGCCAGGGCCACCAUGACUGUUGGUCAGCACCAAAAAACUAUGCCCGGCAAAAUUGUUAGCAACGUAAGAGAACUUCUAUUUAACAAAAAACAAGUGUCUGAUCUGAAGAAAUCUAUCAAAUUACUAUGUGGAGAAUUGUUAGAUUUUAUUUUUGUGUGGAUACCACAACACAUAUUUUCGGACAACAAAUCAGGUUACCGUAGAAUACAUGAGUACAGAAAACAGGCUUAUACCAAACACACAUAUUCAUACAAAGAGGAAGGAACAAUAUUUUCAGAAAUUGAGUAAAAGCGAUUACCCUGCAUAUCUGACCAUCUUUCCUCUGACUGCAGCCCUCAAAUGGUUUUGUGGUGAUAUUCUGACGUGAGCCCCACUUACCUGAACCCGCAACAGAGUAGAAUAAUCUCCACUGCACAGCCUGUUACUUGGGUCACUCGGAAUUCACUGCUGCGAGCACACUUUUUUUCGUUCAACUUCGUUUUUGAAAAUGUUCACAAAUUGACACUUUGCCAGCUGUCGGAGCCUAGAUUCGAAGAAAAUGGCAAGUUCCAGGUUUGUUGCUAAAAGGAAAGAAAGUAUUCUUAAUCCGCUCUGAAUACAUUUUUGUGGAUUUAUGAUAAAGUUCAUUUUAUUUGAAUAUCCCAGGCAUGGGAUUUUCACAUAUGGUGAGUGACUUUCAGCGCCAGAGCCCAAAAUUCCAAAGUACAGAGAGUAGACCCUGUAAGAAAAAUUCUGGGGUAAAUUAUUUUUAUUUACCACCCCAUAGAUUUCUUUCAUUCUGUUCAUCAUCAUCGGUCACUCUGAAACAGCUUUGAUUGAUUGAUUGAUUGAUUCUGUUUUCGAGUACAUUCCACACAAUGCUCACACUACAACAAUCAACAAUCAUACAGAAUGGUGACAGAAUGGGACAGGAACAAACGAAUUUCUUUUUUUUAUUAGUUUUUUCUGCUAAGGGAAAUUCAUAAGGGAGCAACUCCAAAUAAAUUCAAGCACUUUGAAUUAGGUUACUAAUCACUAAAUUGAAAAACAGGGAACAUCGAGAUUUGGCACUAGGUGUGGAGGACAAGAUUAAUGUAACGCCCUCUGCCAGGGCACUGUGACCUGAGUUUGACAUGCACAGUUUAAAAGACACUGACAGCUGGAGUUCUAGUGAAAUUACCAAUCAGUAUAACCGUUUAAAUCUAUAAAGUUUGUAUCAGUAUUGUGGCUGAGAGGAAGGCAUACUUUUAGGGAGACAAAUCUCACGGCACACCAGGGGAUGGUGUGCCUCUGACAAAAAAAUAUAUUUUUUCUGUCAUCUAAUAGAAUAUCAUUUAGUUGUUCUUUCUGUCAAGAUAAGUUUCUGGAUAAGGUAAAUUGGCAAGGAUACACUAACUGUUAUACUAAACAAAUACAUUUCUAACCAAUUUAGUGACAUUUGAGAGCCCGCACUAAUUGUAAGUGGCAAUAUUGACCAGCCGCUUGUGCAGGGUUUUUCACCCUCUCAGGGGGACCGCGGUUACUACAGUGGACGGUUUAUCAUGUUAUCAGGUUACAGAUUAAUGCAAAUGGCGUGAGCGU